CCGGUGCCAGCGCCGCCCGCCAGGAGCCCCGCUAGGCGCCCGCUGCCAGCGCCGGCGCGGCACCGGGCUCGAGGCGCCGGAGAAGCCGGGGAGGAGCGGGGGCCGGUCCCGGUCUGCCGCGCCAGGAGCAGGCGGAGCCAGGCUGCUCGGACAUAAGGGAAAUUGCUGCUUGAUAGAAUGGAUGAACAAUCACAAGGGAUGCAGGGGCCUACUGCUCCACCAUUUCAGCCACAGAAAGCCUUACGACCUGACAUGGGCUACAACACCCUUGCCAAUUUCCGAAUAGAGAAGAAGAUUGGCCGUGGGCAGUUCAGUGAAGUUUACAGAGCAACCUGCCUGCUGGAUGGGGUACCAGUGGCUCUGAAGAAGGUUCAGAUAUUUGAUUUAAUGGAUGCCAAAGCCCGUGCUGACUGCAUCAAAGAAAUAGAUCUUCUUAAGCAACUGAAUCAUCCAAAUGUAAUUAAAUACUAUGCCUCAUUCAUUGAAGACAAUGAACUGAACAUAGUGUUGGAAUUAGCAGAUGCUGGAGAUCUCUCUAGAAUGAUAAAGCAUUUUAAGAAACAGAAGAGGUUGAUUCCUGAAAGAACAGUUUGGAAGUACUUUGUUCAGCUUUGCAGUGCCUUGGAACAUAUGCAUUCUCGUCGUGUUAUGCAUAGAGAUAUAAAGCCAGCCAAUGUGUUCAUUACAGCUACAGGAGUAGUAAAGCUGGGGGACCUUGGACUUGGUCGAUUUUUCAGCUCCAAAACCACAGCUGCACAUUCUUUAGUUGGUACACCUUAUUAUAUGUCUCCAGAGAGAAUACAUGAAAAUGGUUACAACUUCAAGUCUGACAUCUGGUCUCUAGGCUGUCUGCUGUAUGAGCUUGCAUUUUUAACAUUCUUUUUAAGAUGGCUGCACUGCAGAGUCCCUUUUAUGGUGAUAAAAUGAACUUGUACUCUCUGUGCAAGAAGAUAGAACAGUGUGACUACCCACCUCUCCCUUCAGAUCACUAUUCAGAGGAACUGCGACAAUUAGUUAAUAUGUGCAUCAACCCGGAUCCGGAGAAGCGCCCAGACAUCACCUACGUGUACGAUGUAGCGAAGCGCAUGCACGCUCACACCGCCAGCAGCUGAACUGCCAGCGAGCCCCGAAAGGAGCAACAAGAACCAAGUGCUUGCAAUAAAUCCUCCCACCUCCCCGUGUGUGUUACACAAAUGUAAUUAUUUGAAGCUUACUGUUGUGCUUUGAAUUGUAAACCAAUUUAUAUACAAGCUUUGUUGUUUUCUGUUCAUUUCUGGGGUUUGUAUUUUUUAUUAACUUGCAGCCGUACAACAGGUUUAAAUAUAUAAAGUGUAAUUUUAAGAUGCUGUGAACCGCUGUUUCCAUGUUAGUGGGUUCAAGUAUACUUUCUGUAAUAAAAUUGUAUUCAGUUGGGCCUCAGUUCUAAAACACAGUUGCACUUUUGCACAUGAUACAGAUAUUAGGCUUAUUAUUGAGAAGCAAAAUGUCUGAAUCUCUCACCUUUUUAGUAAUUUAUGGAAAGUAUGAAUCAGCACAGUUAACUUUAUUUUAAUCUUUGUUCCAAGAGGAACAUAAUUAUUACAGGAGCUUAUUGUAUUUUAUAUUGAAUUGUAGUUUGCAGUUCUUGCUGUAAGAGUAGACAAGGAAUAGAAUUAGUUCUCUGCUUGCCAAAUGCAAUGGAAAAAUAAUUUCAGGAAAAAUUGUCAUGCUGAAAUUUUUGUAAUGUCCCCUUUUGUUUUGUUAGUCUCUCCUAAUACACAGAACAUUUGUUGGAGGUUUUCUGGGAAGAUUUAAGGUGUUGAUUCAGCAAUCGGGUCGUUUUCAAUAGACUUGUGCAGCACUGCCCUGGGGCGAUGGGAGUCUGCAUAGUUCAGUCUUAAAAACAUGCAGAUGCUUCUUGUAGCCAAUAGGGUUCUUUUGUGGCUGUCCUUUGAGCAGGUCUGAUUAAAAGAUAUGUGAUCUUUAAGUUACAACUUCCCAGCUGUUUGUGUAUAUGUCACUGUUUGUAGAUUUUUGUGUUUAAAAUAAUUUGAAUGACCUUACAGUAUAUUUAAAUUUAAAUUUUUUUUUCUAAAUACUGAAAUGUUUUGGCAAAGAUAUAAUAGUCUAGUAUAACACAAAAUGUAUUCUACAUAAAUAUAUGAUCUUUGUAUACUAUAUCUUGAGACUUAGUUUUAUAUUUAGCAGAAGUAGAUUAUAGCUUUAUGUUUAAGAGAAAGUUGCCACGCCUUAAUUUGGAAAAUAAUUAUAUAUGCAAACUAUCUUACAGAUACUUUAUUAGUUUAAAAGGAAAUGCUGAAUAUUUUUGUUAGACCUUAGUGCCUUUUGGGGUAUGCUUAUAUAAUAUUUUCAUUGUUAAGGAAGGAAUGUGUCUUGUUUUUAAAUGUGGUAAAAAUGGAGAGUGAAAUGAAAUUCCUUGAGUUUCAAGACUGACCUUUUUUUAUGCGAUUGUCAAAACGUAAUUUUUAUCAGUGAUAGCAGCUAGGGAGCUGUUAAUGUCAGUUAAGUCUUUUUCUUUAUGUGGGUAAAAAGUUAGUUCAAAUAAAAGCAGAAGUAUGUACAUACAUAAAUAGGUUCUAGAUGCGGUCACAUCCCUCAUUCUCAGAUUUUUUUUUUUUUGCUGGUUUGUUUCUCUGUGCAGCUGUAAUUUUUAUUUGAUGUAACACUCAGAAUAAAAAAGCAUUUGUGGAGUUUGUGUUCAAGGGAGAGGGGUCGGGGUUGUUUUUUUGGUUUUGUAUUUUUUAAAACUACAAAUACUAUGAAAGUUGUGUUUGGAAAAAAAGAAGGGGGGGUGGCAUUUUUAGAUGGUAUGUGCCAGAUCAUCAGCUUAUCUUAAUACAUACAUUUUUAUUUUUUGGUUCCAGGUUUUGUAGGACAAAUUGUAUGAAACUGUAGUUUUAUUUCUCACUUCUGUGUGCACUUAACCUUAUAGAACUUCAGUGGAACAGUUUGUUGGAAAGAAGUAUUUGAGAAAUUUUGGUUUAUGUUUAGCAACCUCUAGAUUUAUUUUCAUUUAUUAAAUGGUUAUAUAAUUUAAAACAUGAUGAUUAUAUUUUGUAACAAUGUUUCACAUGUCAUAGAAUGAAGUGCUUUGUAUUGAAAAAGGCAGCACAAUAUUUGCUUGACUCCCAGAAUUAGUUCUUACUAUGCACAAGAACUCAAAUAUUUUUUUUUUUUUUCUGAAAUGUGCUAGAACAUUUAAAAUCACCGAAAAGCCCCCAAAUGCAAUGCAGGCUGUUUGUGUCUAAUAUUACUCAUGAAGUAUUGAACUUUUCCUGCUAGAAACUGCUGACAGAUAUCCCUCCCCUGGAAGGGUAUGUUGAGUAAAAGAAUCAUGAGUUAAGAGUUAGCAAAUGUGCACACUUAAGCAUUUAAUUUUUUUUAACAAUGUGGGGUUUUUUUUAGUAUUUAUGAUUAAAUAUUGUGCUGAGGAAAAGAAAUAGUUGUUCCUGACUUAAAAUCUGUGAAAUGAAUGGUGCACCUGACUUUGGUACCAAACUCUGUGAUUAAAAAGCCAAUGUGGGUUAACAGAACUGCUUACAUGAGUGGGGAUUGUAGAAUCUCUCCCUAAAGUGAAAUACCUGGUAACAUGAAAAUGAUGUCUUGUUACAACACUCCAGUGUAUGCUAUGUGCUUAUAAAGUAUUUUCUUUUCUGAACCACCAUCCUGUUUUUCAUAUGUUGAUGAUAACAUUUGGCACUAUUUAUUUUAAGCUAUGGCAUUAUGUGUUUAUUUUCUUUAAAGAAAAAAUUUUACAUUUCUACCCAAAAUGUCUGACCAGCUCCUCCUUUUAUUUCAGUAAUGCUCCAGUAUUAACUUGUGUCAGGAGUGAACUUUUUGUGCUUUGAAUGACAUUGCAUAAAAUCCCUUUGUCUCAAAAGCUCCCCUGCUGUGCCGUAAUCCAAUAGAAAUAAAACAUACAGAUAUUAAAUGUAAUGUAAAAAUUAUAGUGUUUCUAUUAUAUUUUUCAAACUUUUCUUUUUUAGAGAUAUAUAUGUUACAGUAGAUGCUGCCUAUCGUGUGGACAACUUACUGCUUCCAGUAGUUGAUUCUAGGUGAGAUUUCUUGACUGUAACAAAAGUUAGUACACUAAAAAACGAUUCAUUUUUGUAUUAUUUGUUAAAAGAUUAUCUAAAAAUACUAUAUCCAAUAUGUUGUGUGUUUUAAACGAAAAUUUUAAGCUAAAUUUAAAAUAAUUUUCAAUACUAAAAUAUGUAAUAAAGCAAAAAAGUAACAAAGAGCUGCUAUUAUGGCCCCAGUCCUGUCCAGUGAGCUCUUGUUUAUAUUUCAGCUGGUUUUUAUGUAAUUUCAGUUAUUUUGAGUGAACCACAUCCACACACAUGAAUAAACAGUAAUCACUAGGGUAGAUAGAAGUGAUGUGCUCAGCUCACUUUUUAUUCUCUGUGCGUGUCACUGGUUUGGUAGCAGGGAAUAAUUUGGGUUUUCUCCCCUGUUUUGUUGCACUCCUAAUGAUCCCGCUCCCAAUUGUAUGAGCAGGCAAUAGAAGUGUGUUGUCUUUUUGUAAUGAGCAGGAACUUUAAAAACAUGCCAGUAUAGCAGAAGAUGAAAUGCAGUAUUAGAAGUGUCUGAGAAGGCUGGUGUUUUAUUCAUGCUCAUGAUUAAGAAAGCCGUGGAGUGAAAUUCUUGACAGAGGCUUGGAAAUGGAGAACUUUUAUGCCAGUGGUUCUCAGAUAACUCUGAAUGGGACCCAAAAUUGCAGUGAUGUUUGUUUGCAGCAAUCUGUCUGCUUAAUCUCUUAUCUUUGCUGUUACACAGUGCGGUGAGACUCUAAGGAGCUGAGCUGGAGUGUUGGUGAAUGCUGCAUUGGCUGUGUUAGCUGGUAGGAGCAGGAGGUGAUGUGAGGGAGAGCCAGCGAAGGCUACCUGGUCUUGUUUUGUGAAGACAUAAAGGUGCUGGAUGGCAGAGGUCAAAUCACUGGGAUUUCAUAAAUUUUAAUAGUCUUUAAUAGUCUUUAUCUACUUCAACAGUCUAAAUUUUCCCAACCCAGCCAUAUGUCCAUAUUAUAUAGCCAGUGGCAGUGUUGGCAGUGCCCUUUGGAAUUUCUGAUCUCUGGUUUGAUCUGGGUGAGUAAAUCUUUCUGACAAGGAGGGAAAUAGAGGUGCAGACCCUUCUCGGUGGGGUGCUACUUACGUUUCUGAACAUUACUCAAAUAUAGAUGUUUAGAGUUGUUUUUUAAACUUUAUUCCCUUCUCUGAUGUUUUUAAAAAGUGGUUUCCAUUCAUAUUCAUCACUAAAGUUCUGUGACCCCUGGCUUCUGCUUUAUUAGUCCUGUUGUCAGCCUUACCCUCCUCCUGGUUUGAAGUCCUCUGUCUAAUUUUCCUAGUGGUCAUUAGUUUGCAUCUUUCUUUGUGUAUUUGCUAAACUCAGCCCAUUUCAGUGUUUUCAAAUUUCAUCCCUCCCCAUGGGCAAGGCCAGUUCCUUUCCCCUGAUGAGUACUUUAAUCCUUUGUUCUUCAUUCUGUUUUUCCAGCCCAAUGCCUGUGAUUUCUAGUUUUAGAUAGAUUUUUCUUACUGCCUCAAUCAUUCCCAUGACCUUGUCUUUGCUAAAUACUGUUCACUUUAUUAUCUCUCAUUUCUAAAUUCCCUUUCUCUGAUCACUACCUGCUCUCUUUCAGCUUAUCUGUCUUUCUCUCUCCUCUACCCUGUCACUCACUCCUUUUGGGAUCUCCAGUCUAUUAACCUUUUUGACUCCUUCGUCUUCACUGCUGCCUCCUUCCUUCAUUGGCCUCACUUCUUUUUACUCACUGGUCUUUAUUUUUAUCUCUAUCUGCUUCUCUGUACAUGGUUUCUUUGGCUGCUUCUCACACUACCCUGUGUCCAUUCCUCCCUCCAGACAUAUUCUCUUGUAAGUUCUUAAUUUCCAUUCCAGCCUUUCUGAAUAUCUGAAGAGUGUGUCAGCACAACACAGCUUUGGACUCAGCUUUGCCUUACCUGCUUCAAUGCUCUCCCCAGAUGGACUUUUAAAGCACUUUUAUCUCACCUUUUUUUUCUCUUGUUGAGCUUGCUUGCAGAUCUGCUGUUCAUAUUCAUUCUCCAUCCAUUCUUGAUACAAAAUCUUCAAUCCUGAUUUUGUUGCUUGACAAGAUCCUUUCCAAAGUUGUUUUUAUUCUCAGGAUCUGUUUCUGAGCUGAGUUUCUCUGCCUCUUAACUUUGCAAGUUUGCCCCUUUUAUUUCUGUAUCUUUUAUGUGUCUCAUUCCUUCCACUGAAUUCCUUCCUUCAGUAGCAACCUUUCACUGAAUUCCUUCCUUCAGUAGCAACCAAGUGUCUCUUUUCAUCUGUCUUUAAGGGGGUGGCACCAUUGUCCUAACUGUUUCUGGUUUUUAAUACUUGGUCCUUUUUUUCUCUCUCUCAUCUGAUUUCAUGUACCUAAACACCCUCUCUCCUGUUUGUUUUUGGAUUUUUUUAAUGUUGCACUUCAUUUGAAUGCCCCAAAAAUCCAGUGCUUCUCCCCCCUAGUCUGGUUCUCCCAUGGUUCUGUCUCUGGAUUAUUCCUUUAGGAUCCAGCCAGCCUCAGACCUGUUCAGAUUCAAAGAUGUAAUUUUUAUUUCUGACUCCCUCUAGACUAUUUUCUAACAUCCCUGACAAUUUUACUUGCCUGUUUUCCAAGGCCACAACCUUUCUAUCUCUGGCACUUCUCCCAUGCCUGCGUAUCAAAUGUCUCAGAUAUAUCAGAAUCCAGCCCUCUUCACUAUCUGUUCUUUCUUACCUUUUAUCUUCACUGAUUUAACCUCUGUGUCAUUUUGGCUUCUUUUCUGCCUUCAAAGUAUCAAAAUUGACAGGACUAAACUGUCAUUGGGCUUUCACUGUUUUGUGUGCUGAAGAAGGAACUCCACCAAAUUACUACUUGUUUUGUGUUCUAAAGAGACUUGAAUCCCACAAAUCUGAUCUUAUUUCAGUACUGUAGAGUUGGAACAGAUUGCUUCUCCAAGUAUGUCAGAAGUCCUUGAAUUUGGGCCUUCAGUUUUCUGUCAUUUCAGAUAAAGAGAUUUUUCCCUUAAUUGCUUUGUAUUUACUGUGUGUAACUUUGUCUUGUUGCUGCACUUACAGCUAACAGUUGUUUUCCUGCUUCAGCAACUUGAUUUCAGUGCUUUUAACUAUUGCUUGAAAUAAGAAGGUGCCUCAGAGCUUCCCUGGCUGGGCCCAGAGUUGGGCACAAGGCUCCUCUCUUGCUGUGCCCCCAGACCGUCCCGGUGCAGGAGCGAGCUCGGCGCUCUGCUGCUCCUCUACCCACGCUGCCCCAACCCAAAGCCAAACCAAAGCUGCCUCUGUGGUGGCUGCAUGGUUUUCUGUGGGGGUGCAUGGUCUGACUUCACAAUUUAGCAGGCUUUCAGAGGUGGGGGGUUGUGUGUUUGCAGAGAUUCACUGUUGGUUAAAUUGUCUGGCCUUGACUGCUCAUAAUUAGCCUUAGAUAUGUUGAGAUUGAGAAACAAAAAUCUCUGUAAAACUGAAAAGUUUUCUGGUUUGGAACUGGGGGUUAUAGAGCUGAAUGUUACAUUUGCUGUGGGUAUACACACAUUUGUUGACUUUUUAUUUACACCAGGGUAAUUAUCUUCUUUUAGAGGAUCAGUUGUUUGCUGGCACAAAAAAAAAAUCUAGUGCUUUUCAGGUUUUAUAUUUAUUCCUUGUUGCCUGCCUGUAUCACAUUGUGCAGUUAGUUCUUCUGCAGCUGCCUUAGUGGUGGGUGUUUGCCUUAGUUCUUUUGACAGAAUUGACAGAAAAUUGCAAUUAGACAAUUUCCUAUUAAAAAUAGCAAAUUGAGUCCUUCCUGGUAGUUUCACUUGCUUUUCAUUUAAACCCUAGCAAUAGAUAGAGGUCUCAGCCAGGAAGAGAAAUGCUCCCCAGGAUAAAACAGAUGUUCUGGGACUCCUUACUUCCUUUCCAGCUCCCAGUCCCUGUUUCUCUGGCUUCCCUGGAAUACUUGCAGGGAAUAUGGCAUUGCCAGUGUAUCAAGGGCCAAUAGAAACUUUCUCAGUGUGGACAGGAAAUCUCCCAGUUGAAAAUUACUAGGAAUAUAUUUAGUAUUGUUAUACAGCUGAUAAUUGCCAAUGUGUAAAGAGCAAUUUAAAAAAUCUGUGUUUGCUGUUACAAAAAGAAUUUUAAAGUAUGCAAAGGCUUUUUAAUGUGGUGUUGGUCUUCAGUAGACCUUAUUUGCUGCUUGUUCCUGUGAUUUCAGUCAUGCUGGACUGUUGUCAAGAUGAUUCAUUAAAGAUGAGUGUUGUUUUUUUGUUGGGAGUUGGGAAAACAGGAGGCAUUCACUGAUUUGUUUGUAUUUGGCUGCUGACUGUGCUUGAAUCAAAUUUUAUAAUCAUUCAGAUUGGAAUGGACAUUGAGACAAGUCUCUAGUCCAGCUUCCUGCUGAGAGCUGAGUCAGUGCUGAAUUCAGGGCAGAGCUUCAGACUUCAGCAAGACCUAGAAACCCUCAAGGGAGGGUGACUGAGCAGCUUCUGUGGGCAGCCUGCUCCAGUGCCUCACUGUAAACCUUGCCUUGUGUGCAGCCAGAAACUCCUCAGUUACAAGCUGUGGCCAUUCUUUGUCCUUCUGCCACUCCUCAAUUGUUCUUUAUAUUGCAAAAAGGUAAGUCAAGUAUUGGGACAAAGAGAGAACUUAGGAUGUUUUAUUUUCUGGAAUUUGUUUUUGCUAACAAAUAUGUUCACGUAGUACUUCUGCUCCUGUAUGACGUGUACACCGUAUUCAUUUGCAACUCGAGUGUAAAAUAAAACUUUUGGCAGUAAAACUUGAUACAAA